rnacentral:rRNA from 1 species
GAUGAACGCUGGCGGCGUGCCUAAUACAUGCAAGUCGAGCGAACAGACGAGGAGCUUGCUCCUCUGACGUUAGCGGCGGACGGGUGAGUAACACGUGGAUAACCUACCUAUAAGACUGGGAGAACUUUGGGAAACCGGAGCCAAUACCGGAUAAUAUAUUGAACCGCAUGGUUCAAUAGUGAAAGACGGUUUUGCUGUCACUUAUAGAUGGAUCCGCGCCGCAUUAGCUAGUUGGUAAGGUAACGGCUCACCAAGGCGACGAUGCGUAGCCGACCUGAGAGGCUGAUCGGCCACACUGGAACUGAGACACGGUCCAGACUCCUACGGGAGGCAGCAGUAGGGAAUCUUCCGCAAUGGGCGAAAGCCUGACGGAGCAACGCCGCGUGAGUGAUGAAGGUCUUCGGAUCGUAAAACUCUGUUAUUAGGGAAGAACAAAUGUGUAAGUAACUAUGCACGUCUUGACGGUACCUAAUCAGAAAGCCCCGGCUAACUACGUG